rnacentral:lncRNA from 1 species
CAGUUUUAAAUGCAGUAUGAUGUCUGAUAUUUUCAUUUCAUAGUUUCGUGUGCGAAUAUCACUGUUUUAUUGAUUAUGGGUUGAAUGACUGAGAACCCGAUGUUGUGUGUUGUCUUGUUUGGCAUAAAUUACUGGUUUGCUAGUUUGUGUGUGAUUUGAUGAUGCUGACUAAGGAAAAAGGGAAUAAAAGGUAAUGUAAAUUGAUAAUUGUAUAAUGUGGUUAGCCUGACUAGAUAUCCUGGGAAAUGGUGGACGGACCGGGUCCGUAGGGAACCCUACCGGGAUUGUGGUCUCUCAUACCGGACGGGGUAUGGAGACCUUAUGUGUUUUGGCGCCCAUACCGGACGGGGUAUGGAGACAGCCCGUUUCACCCUCAUACCGGACGGGGUAUGGGGACGGCCCUAGAAUCAGGUUAUAAAUGUUAAGGGUUCAC